rnacentral:ncRNA from 1 species
AUAUGCCCGUGGAAUGCUGUCUCAUUGAUUUUGGUAAGAAGCGUGCGCUUCUGGCGUGCUUCGACAUCUGUGUUCUCCGGACACUGGCUGGGGGCUCCCCAUUCGACCCGUCUUUAAACACGGACCAAGGAGUUUGACAUGUGUCCGAGUCAACGGGCUAGUAAAUUCGUAAGGCAUAAGGAAUCUGAUUGGUGGGAUCCUCUUGAGGGCUGCACCGCCGACCGACCUUGAUCUUCUGAGAAGGGUUCGAGUGUGAGCAUACCUGUUGGGACCCGAAAGAUGGUGAACUAUGCCUGAGCGGGGAGAAGCCAAAGUAUACUCUAGUGGAGGACCCUUGUGAUACUGACGUGCAAAUCGUUCAUCUGACUUGGGUAUAGGGGCGAAAGACUAAUUGAACCAUCUAGUAGAUAGUUCCCUUCGUAGUUUCCCUCAGAAUAGCUAGAGAUCGGGUGCGAAUUUUAUCGAAUAAAGCCAAUGAUUUGAGGCUUCAUGGGGAAACACCCUGACCUAUUUUCAAACUUUAAUCAGAAGGAUGACGUGACUUCUUUGUUGAGCUGCACCACGGAAUCAAGAACUCCAAGUGGGCCAUUUUUGGUAAGCUGGACUGGCGAUGAGGGAUGAACCGAAAGCCGGCUUAUGGUUCCAAACUACAUUCUAACCAAGAUCCAACAAAGGGUGUUUAUCAAUUAAGACAACAGGAAAGUGGUCAUGGAAGUCAA